rnacentral:rRNA from 1 species
GACGAACGCUGGCGGCGUGCUUAACACAUGCAAGUCGAACGGUAAGGCCCUUCGGGGUACACGAGUGGCGAACGGGUGAGUAACACGUGGGUGAUCUGCCCUGCACUUCGGGAUUAGCCUGGGAAACUGGGUCUAAUACCGGAUAGGACUCCGGACUGCAUGGUCUGGGGUGGAAAGCUUUUGCGGUGUGGGAUGGGCCCGCGGCCUAUCAGCUUGUUGGUGGGGUGAUGGCCUACCAAGGCGACGACGGGUAGCCGGCCUGAGAGGGUGACCGGCCACACUGGGACUGAGAUACGGCCCAGACUCCUACGGGAGGCAGCAGUGGGGAAUAUUGCAUAAUGGGCGCAAGCCUGAUGCAGCGACGCCGCGUGAGGGAUGACGGCCUUCGGGUUGUAAACCUCUUUCAGCACAGACGAAGCGCAAGUGACGGUAUGUGCAGAAGAAGGACCGGCCAACUACGUGCCAGCCGCCGCAGUAA